GAUGAACGCUGACAGAAUGCUUAACACAUGCAAGUCGAUUCAAUUUACCUUCGGGUAAUGAGGAUGGCGGACGGGUGAGUAACGCGUAAGGAACUUGCCUCUUGGUCUGGGACAACUGUUGGAAACGACAGCUAAUACCGGAUAUUAUGAGAUUCUCGCAUGGGAAACUUAUGAAAGCUAUAUGCGCCAAGAGAGAGCCUUGCGUUCCAUUAGCUAGUUGGUGGGGUAACGGCCCACCAAGGCGACGAUGGAUAGCCGGCCUGAGAGGGUGAACGGCCACAAGGGGACUGAGACACGGCCCUUACUCCUACGGGAGGCAGCAGUGGGGAAUAUUGGACAAUGGGCCACAAGCCUGAUCCAGCAAUUCUGUGUGCACGAUGAAGGUCUUCGGAUUGUAAAGUGCUUUCAGUUGGGAAGAAGAAAGUGACGGUACCAACAGAAGAAGCGACGGCUAAAUACGUGCCAGCAGCCGCCGUAAGAC
rnacentral:rRNA from 1 species